ACAGAACUAGAGAGUGAGGAGAG
rnacentral:snRNA from 1 species